rnacentral:tRNA from 1 species
AGUGUAGCUCAGUGGCAGAGCAAUUGAUUUGUAAUCAAUUGGUCGGGGGUUCGACUCCCUCCACUG